UUUCCUACGGGAGGCAGCAGUGGGGAAUAUUGCACAAUGGGGGAAACCCUGAUGCAGCAACGCCGCGUGAUUUAUGACGGCCUUGCGGAAAUAAACUCUUUUAUGUUCCGUGGGUGGAUCCCCGGAGCCGCAACACG
rnacentral:rRNA from 1 species